AUUGGGGUGCACGGCCUUUUGGCUAAGAUCAAGUGUUGUAUCUGUUCUUAUCAGUUUAAUAAUAUUUGUUUUAUAUAGUAAAAUUUACUGUCUAUUUUAAAUGGCUCUUGGAUUUCAAAGUGUAGUCAGAAAAUUUUUUCCAAUCAAUUUUAAAGGGAUACAUUCA
rnacentral:snRNA from 1 species